AUUGAACGCUGGCGGCAGGCCUAACACAUGCAAGUCGAGCGGAGCGGCGGACGGGUGGGUAAUGACUAGGAAUCAGCCUGGCGGUGGGGAGGACGUCCGGAAAGGGACGCUCAUACCACAUCUCAUCAGAUGAGCCUAGGUCGGAUUGGCUAGUGGGUGGGGUAAAGGCAUACCAAGGCGACGAUCCGUACCUGGUCUGAGAGGAUGAUCAGUCACACUGGAACUGAGACACGGUCCAGACUCCGACGGGAGGCAGCAGUGGGGAAUAUUGGACAAUGGGCGAAAGCCUGAUCCAGCCAUGCCGCGUGUGUGAAGAAGGUCUUCGGAUUGUAAAGCACUUUAAGUGGGGAGGCGUUACCAGCAGAAUAAGCACCGGCUAACUUCGUGCCAGCCGCCGCGGUAAUUC
rnacentral:rRNA from 1 species